CGUUCACUAGCCGUGUGCAGCCUGAUUCGUUGCCGGGACCCUAGUGUGUGCAUGCACAAUACUCAAGAAUCCGAUGACGAGGAAUGUCAUGGCAUUGUAGUACCUGCAAGAAGGUUGUUGGCCUGUACAAAAAAUCACAGAAAAAGGUGCCAAAUCUAUUCGAUGUUCACAUUGACAUUCGCGAUUUAAAAGGCAAAUUAAAGAAACAUCAGGAGCAAAGGAAAACAAAAUUGAGAGAAAUCGAGAUCAAGGUGUCUGCACUCAGAAACACAGCAGGUGGCAUCAUCAUUCUUCAUGUCAGCGGGACAGCAUGUGGUGACCGUUUCUUGGGAUGCGUGGAUGAGUUUCUGGAAAAAAGUUUGAACAAUUUCAUAUGUGAUGGAACCUUGUUUGUAGAUACAUACAAACGGAAAUGGCUCUGUGAAAUAAGUACGUUUGAGAAAUUCACAGAUUGCAUCCUAAUAUCGGUUGAGAAAACCAAAGGUGUUGCUACUGUAGAUUUCAAAACUAAGGUCUGCUCGGAUUUACAGGUCGAAAGACCAUCAACGCUUAACAUCGUGUCUCUCUUGUCUCACAGAAAAGCGUCCUCCGAAAAAGCUGCGGAAUUAAGAGGCUUGCAAUCAACUCCACACAAAAGUCGAAACAUCCAGCUCAAAGCAUAUAGACCCGAAAAAAAAGACAAAAGCGCCAUUGAAAGUCACCCAGAUACCUUUGCCAAAUAUAUUUGGGAAAAACUUCGAUUCCGAGAAUAUCUCAGUUGUAUGACAAAUAAUGACGAAGGGGGCUCCUUCUAUUUAGGAAUUGCUGUAACAAAAAGAGAGUACAAGACAUCAACGGACGGCCCACGCACUUCCAAUAGUUGGGUUCCAAAUAUUGAAGGAUUUGAGUUGAAAUGUGGAAAACGUGAACUUGAGAACAGUCUCAAAUGUCUAAUUAAAUCUCAUGUAACCAAACUAGAUUCCGAUAAAUCUUUUGGAGAUAUUUCUUCAGACCUUGUAAAAUUCCACUUUUAUCCAGUGAAGACAGAGAGCAGCAGAUGCGUCCUUGAGAUUGCAGUUGGCUACACGGAAGGGAUAGUGUUCUAUCACAAACAAGGCCCAUUAGCUUAUCAUAUUACAGAAAAUGGGGACGUUGAAAGAAUAACCCGUGAAGAUUGGUUGUGCAAAGUGACAGAAAUUUAUUGAUCUCAUUUGAGAUUCAUCUCCGUCGCUAUCAAGGAUCUUGAAACAGGUGUCACUGUCCCUUUCCUCAUCCUGGGAAUACACUAAGGGGGCAUUUUAGCCUCAUCAAUACACGCCCUUCAUACUGGAACAUAUUAACGCAUUCUUGUAUUGGUAAGGUGUUUGUGCACUAACCUUGUCUAUCAAAAUGACGUCCAGUUCAGAGGGAAAUCUUUCGAGUUAUUCAGAUGAUGCGUUGGACAACCUUCAUCGGGGUCCCGGUAUGCGUUGUGCAUACAGUAGAAGAUACUCAUCUACAUGUGAAGAGAGCAGCGACUCGCGCACUGAAUCAUUCGACAACAGAAUAUACGAGGCUGAAAAUGCCGUAGACGACGAAUGUGUUGAAGUAACGAACAGAUCGGACCCUAAAGCAGAUGAGGACAUUAUUUGUGAGCGACCGAUGCUACCCCAGGAUGGUAAUCAGAAAUAUUUGUUGGAGCAAAUCAAGAUCCAAAUGCAAACACAAUUCGAUGGACUUAAAGACACACUCUUGAAGGAGUUAGGGGAGAUCAAAGACACACAGAGGACGCUUCAACAAGAUUUGAUGAGAUUGAAAGGUAGCGGUGGUGAUGGUGACGUAAUGGCGCUGAACUACGAACCGUUCCAGAGACGUGCCCAGUAUGCAGUUCGUCCUCUGAGUACAGCUGGUACACAAACCAACUUUUCAGUGGAAACUCAAACACCCAAUUCGGAAUCAUGGGUAGUUAAACCAGAUGCAGACAUUGUGAUCACAAGCCUUUAACUGGCGCCGAGCGGAUCGUUAGAGGAGAUGCUACUGCAUUUUACAAGGACUGCAGAGCAUACAUGAUUCGGAUGGGUUAUUCAGAGGUUUCAAAUCGAAAUAAUGUCUCUGAUUAAUAUUGAUGAUUUAAAAACCACUUCACUGUGUAGUGACAUGUCUUUUGGCAAUCAUCACUCUGAUAAAGGACUUGAAGAGAUUAACUAUCUUGUCACAAAGACCGACAAACAUCAUACACGAUUCUUUCAAUCAAUCAGUAACGUUUGUUAAAGCAUGAUUUUACUAGCGCUUCAUAUUGUGUGUCGGCAAGCCUUUUUUCAGCUUUUGCUGCCGCAUCGUGAACACUUUACGGGUUUGUAUAAGUUAAGCUCUUCCAUCGCCUGUGAAUACACAGGGCCGCUUUGCGGUGUUGUCGCAAACGAAUCAAGCAAGGCCUUGAUCCAGCGAGAAGGAAACGAGGGAGGGCCAAUGAGCGAUCAGUUUACAUCACUCAAACGGCAAUGAUUCUCGCUUGACAUCGUGUGCAAUAUGUGCAAUAGCCUUGUGGUAUCUGAUCUACAAAUCCUUCAAUGUCAGGCAAUCGGACGGGAAGCAGAAAGUUCAUGCACGGAGCAGGGCUCAUUUGACAGUUAUACACGGUCUUUAGUUGACAAACAAAAGCCACACACAACCGAUAUAAUGCGUGUCUGAUUGAGGAAGCUAGGGUAUACAAACCCGUGAACUAUUGCAAUACUGAAUACUGAAAUGUUGCUUUUUCUAUUGCAUCAGUUCCAUAAACUUUAAGGUGACAAUGCUUGUCGUAAAAGGCGACUAACGGGAUCGGAUGGUCAGGCUCGCUGACU
rnacentral:misc_RNA from 1 species